UCCUCGAUAGCUCAGUUGGUAGAGCAACGGACUGUUAAUCCGUGGGUCGCUGGUUCAAGCCCAGCUCGAGGAGCCA
rnacentral:tRNA from 1 species